rnacentral:rRNA from 1 species
UUUAAAUUUAAAAGAUAAAGACUUGAGUAGUAUUAGUUAUGGUCUUGAAACUUAAAGAAUUUGGCGGUAUUUUAGUCCAUUUAGAGGAAUCUGUCCCGUUAUCGAUAAUCCACGUUGGACCUUACUUAAUUUAUGAAAUAUGUAUACCGCCGUUUAUUUGAAAAUCUUAUUAGGGUAAUUUUCUUAAUAUAUUAUUUUAUAAAAUUUCAGGUCAAGGUGCAGUUAAUAUUUAAGUGGAGAUGGAUUACAAUGUAUUUAUAUAGACGAAUUAUAAAUUGGAACAUUUAUAUGAAGGUGGAUUUAAUAGUAACUUUGAUAAGAUUACUUGAAGUGAUUUAGGCUCUAAAAUGUGU